rnacentral:lncRNA from 1 species
UUAUCAUUCAACACAAUGGCUUCAACACUAGGUGGACUUAAAUUGAUCUUACAAGAAGAGUCAAUUCGGUCAUCAAUAGGGUCAACUAGUGUAUCCAUACUCACAAUAAGUACAUCAUCAACAAGAGGUAAAGAAUCAAUAGAAUCACAAAUAGGUAAGCUACUAGUCACACUUAAUAACUACUGGCCACACAAUUACCAUUCACAUGCAGAAAAGUAUAAGAGUUAGCUAUUUUACCUUGAAGUUCUUGAGUAGAUUCUUCUUUGCCGUGGUGUGAAGGUUUCCCACAUGCUUCGGCAGCAACUUCUCCUUGGCCUUGUGCUCCUCCACUUGCCAUAUUAGUACCUACACAAAUGUCCUUAGAAAUAGAAGGACAGACAUAGUUAGCAUGGUUU